AACGAACGCUGGCGGCAGGCCUAACACAUGCAAGUCGAGCGAGGACUUCGGUUCUAGCGGCGGACGGGUGAGUAACGCGUGGGAAUGUGCCCUUCUCUACGGAAUAGCCCUGGGAAACUGGUAGUAAUACCGUAUACGCCCUAUUGGGGAAAGAUUUAUCGGAGAAGGAUCAGCCCGCGUUGGAUUAGGUAGUUGGUGGGGUAAUGGCCUACCAAGCCGACGAUCCAUAGCUGGUUUGAGAGGAUGAUCAGCCACACUGGGACUGAGACACGGCCCAGACUCCUACGGGAGGCAGCAGUGGGGAAUCUUAGACAAUGGGGGCAACCCUGAUCUAGCCAUGCCGCGUGAGUGAUGAAGGCCUUAGGGUUGUAAAGCUCUUUCAGCUGGGAAGAUAAUGACGGUACCAGCAGAAGAAGCCCCGGCUAACUCCGUG
rnacentral:rRNA from 1 species